rnacentral:sRNA from 1 species
CUGAUUAUUAGCAUCAUUCAUCGAAUGGUGGGUUAGCGCACGUCGGAUCUCAGUGACAGAUAACCCGCCCCACGAGGCGGGUUUU